CCUACGGGAGGCAGCAGUAAGGAAUAUUGGGCAAUGGAGGCAACUCUGACCCAGCCAUGCCGCGUGAAGGAUGACGGCCCUAUGGGUUGUAAACUUCUUUUAUACGGGAAUAAACCCGGGUACGUGUACCCGGCUGAAUGUACCGUAAGAAUAAGGAUCGGCUAACUCCGUGCCAGCAGCCGCGGUAAUACGGAGGAUCCAAGCGUUAUCCGGAUUCAUUGGGUUUAAAGGGUGCGUAGGCGGAUUUGUAAGUCAGCGGUGAAAUCCUACAGCUUAACUGUAGAACUGCCGUUGAUACUGCAAGUCUUGAGUACAUUUGAUGUGGGCGGAAUGUGUCAUGUAGCGGUGAAAUGCUUAGAUAUGACACGGAACACCAAUUGCGAAGGCAGCUCACAAAACUGUAACUGACGCUGAGGCACGACAGCGUGGGGAUCAAACAGGAUUAGAUACCCUGGUAGUCCACGCCGUAAACUAUGAUCACUCGAUGUUGGCGAUAUACAGCCAGCGUCUAAGCUAAAGCAUUAAGUGAUCCACCUGGGGAGUACGGUCGCAAGAUUGAAACUCAAAGGAAUUGACGG
rnacentral:rRNA from 1 species